CCUACGGGAGGCAGCAGUGAGGAAUAUUGGUCAAUGGACGAGAGUCUGAACCAGCCAAGUAGCGUGAAGGAUGACUGCCCUGUGGAUUGUAAACUUCUUUUAUAUGGGAAUAAAAUGUUCCACGUGUGGGAUUUUGUAUGUACCAUAUGAAUAAGGAUCGGCUAACUCCGUGCCAGCAGCCGCGGUAAUACGGAGGAUCCGAGCGUUAUCCGGAUUUAUUGGGUUUAAAGGGAGCGUAGGUGGAUUGUUAAGUCAGUUGUGAAAGUUUGGGGCUCAACCGUAGAAUUGCAGUUGAAACUGGCAGUCUUGAGUACAGUAGAGGUGGGCGGAAUUCGUGGUGUAGCGGUGAAAUGCUUAGAUAUCACGAAGAACUCCGAUUGCGAAGGCAGCUUACUAGACUGACACUGACGUUGAUGCUCGAAAGUGUGGGUAUCAAACAGGAUUAGAUACCCCUGUAGUC
rnacentral:rRNA from 1 species